rnacentral:rRNA from 1 species
AUGCGCAGCUUAACAUGCAAGUCGAACGGCAGCACGGGAGUAAUCCUGGUGGCGAGUGGCGAACGGGUGAGUAAUAUAUCGGAACGUGCCCAGUCGUGGGGGAUAACGCAGCGAAAGCUGUGCUAAUACCGCAUACGAUCUAUGGAUGAAAGCGGGGGAUCGCAAGACCUCGCGCGAUUGGAGCGGCCGAUAUCAGAUUAGCUAGUUGGUGGGGUAAAGGCCCACCAAGGCGACGAUCUGUAGCUGGUCUGAGAGGACGACCAGCCACACUGGAACUGAGACACGGUCCAGACUCCUACGGGAGGCAGCAGUGGGGAAUUUUGGACAAUGGGCGCAAGCCUGAUCCAGCAAUGCCGCGUGCAGGAUGAAGGCCUUCGGGUUGUAAACUGCUUUUGUACGGAACGAAACGGCGAGCUCUAAUACAGUUUGCUAAUGACGGUACCGUAAGAAUAAGCACCGGCUAACUACGUGCCAGCAGCCGCGGUAAUACGUAGGGUGCGAGCGUUAAUCGGAAUUACUGGGCGUAAAGCGUGCGCAGGCGGUGAUGUAAGACAGAGGUGAAAUCCCCGGGCUCAACCUGGGAACUGCCUUUGUGACUGCAUCGCUGGAGUACGGCAGAGGGGGAUGGAAUUCCGCGUGUAGCAGUGAAAUGCGUAGAUAUGCGGAGGAACACCGAUGGCGAAGCAAUCCCCUGGGCCUGUACUGACGCUCAUGCACGAAAGCGUGGGGAGCAAACAGGAUUAGAUACCCUGGUAGUCCACGCCCUAAACGAUGUCACUGGUGUGGGGUCUUC